AUUGAACGCUGCGGCAGGCCUAACACAUGCAAGUCGAGCGCGAAAGUUCUUCGGAAUGAGUAAAGCGGCGGACGGGUGAGUAAUACAUGGGAAUCUGCCUGGUAGUGGGGGACAACGUUUCGAAAGGAACGCUAAUACCGCAUACGCCCUACGGGGAAAGGGGGGAUCGCAAGACCUCUCGCUAUCAGAUGAGCCCAUGU
rnacentral:rRNA from 1 species